CACUGACAUUUGCAGUAGGACCAUCUGGAUUUGCCAUUAUUAGCAGCGCAAGCUGUGUGUUCUAUUUCCCUUCUCCAGCAUUAAUUUCUACUCCCUCCAACUGGGAUUUUGCAGCCCUCAUUUACAGUGUUGUUCCGACUUUCUGGUGUUUACUGCAGUAUCUACAUUCUGGUCUGCCUCCACCAUGGUCACCUCCUAAAGCCCAGCAAUCUGU
rnacentral:lncRNA from 1 species